UACGGAGGGUGCGAGCGUUGUCCGGAAUCAUUGGGCGUAAAGGGCGCGUAGGUGGCCCCUCAAGCGUGCGGUGAAAGUCAGGGGCUCAACCCCUGAUCGGCCGUGCGAACUGGGGAGCUUGAGCACUGUAGAGGCAGGCGGAAUUCCGGGUGUAGUGGUGAAAUGCGUAGAGAUCCGGAGGAACCCCAGAGGCGAAGGCGGCGUCCUGGCUCACAACUGACGCUCAUACACGACAGCAUGGGGAGCGAACGGG
rnacentral:rRNA from 1 species